CUUCUGUGAUGACACGAUGACGAGUCGGAAAAGCUUCCCCUCUGAUAGGUCGCUGGUUCAGACUCGCGUUCUGUGGGUCUGCUCUGGGUCGUCCAAUCAAAGAGAAGCUUUUGGUUGAAGACAUCGAGGCAUUUGUCUGAGAAGC
ensembl:snoRNA SNORD15 Small nucleolar RNA SNORD15